rnacentral:rRNA from 1 species
CAUAUUGGACAAUGGGCGAAAGCCUGAUUCAGCCAUGCCGCGUGUGUGAAGAAGGNCUNNGGAUUNUNAAGCACUCUAAGUAGNNNNNCAGGGUUGUAGAUUAAUACUCUGCAAUUUUGACGUUACUGACAGAAUAAGCAUGGGCGAACUUCGUGCCUGCAGCCGCGGUAAUACGAAGGGUGCAAGCGUUAAUCGGAAUUACUGGGCGUAAAGCGCGCGUAAGUGGUGUGGUUAGUUAGAUGAGAAAGCCCCCGGCUCAACCCGGGAACUGCAUGCAAAACAGGCGAGGUCGGGAACAGGAGAAGGUUGGGGAAAUUCCUGUGGAGCGGUGAAAUGCGUAGGAAUAGGGAGGAACACCAGGGGCGAAGGCGACCACCUGGGCUGAAACUGACAAUGAGGUGCGAAAGCGGGGGGAGCAAACAGG